GACGAACGCUGGCGGCGUGCUUAACACAUGCAAGUCGAACGGAAAGGCCCUGCUUUUGUGUGGUGCUCGAGUGGCGAACGGGUGAGUAACACGUGAGUAACCUGCCCUUGACUUUGGGAUAACUUCAGGAAACUGGGGCUAAUACCGUAUAGGAUCUCCUGCUGCAUGGUGUGGGUUGGAAUGUUUCGUCGGGUGGGGAUGGACUCGCCGGUUAUCAGCUUGUUGGUGGGGUAGUGGCUUACCAAGGCUUUGACGAGUAGCCGGCCUGAGAGGGUGACCGGCCACAUUGGGACUGAGAUACGGCACACACUCCUACGGGAGACAGCAGUGGGGAAUAUUGCACGAUGGGCGGAAGCCUGAUGCAGCAACGCCGCGUGAGGGAUGACGGCCUUCGGGUUGUAGACCGCUUUCGCCUGUGACGAAGCGUGAGUGACGGUAAUGGGUAAAGAAGCACCGGCUAACUACGUG
rnacentral:rRNA from 1 species